UACGGGGGGUGCGAGCGUUGUCCGGAAUCACUGGGCGUAAAGGGCGCGUAGGUGGUUUGAUAAGGGUGUGGUGAAAGCCCGGGGCUCAACCCCGGGUCUGCCGUGCCGACUGUCAAACCUCGAGGGCUGUAGAGGCAGACGGAAUUCCGGGUGUAGCGGUGGAAUGCGUAGAGAUCCGGAGGAAGACCGGUGGCGAAGGCGGUCUGCUGGG
rnacentral:rRNA from 1 species